GAGUGUCUCCCUUAAGAUCUUCACCUAAAAAGGUAACCAAUCAAACACUUAAACUAAGGAUUCAAAUAAAACGAGCAAAAUCCUAUUUCGCAGUGACGAAAUGACGGAAUGAGAUAACGGCAGAACUUACACAACAGCCGUACAAUUGAUGAAACGAGCAACAAAAGAAUUCCCGAUUAACACAAUAUCAAUUACAGAAGCAAGCAAAAAGAUAAAAAAAAUAUAAGAAGAAGAAAAACAAAGAAAAUAGGAAAAGAAACAAAAAGAAAAGAACGAUAGACUUAGUUCAAAAUAAUUUAAGUUAACCACCAACCAGACUUCCAGCAUUUAGCAAAAAAAAAAAAUCCCUUAUCGUAGGUUAUCUUUAAAAUAAAAUGGUAAAACUUCUAAAGACGCAACUCAAACUCUUGACCUUGAUCACAUAAGCAUAACAUAGAACCACAAAUAUAAAAACUUAAUUACAACAAAAAAUCCACAAUCAAAUAUUAAAAUUUUGAGGCGUUACAGUCCAUACCGCAGGGGCUUUGCCCCUACAACCGUAGUCCAGUUUUGUGUUUAAUGGGAAUCUUACCAUUGUAUUUAUUUUUUCAACAAAUGAUGAGAUUCGGGUCUCACAAUCUCUAAUAAUAUUAAAAUUUAAUAUAAAAAAAUAAAAAGCAGAAUCAAACUAUGAUAGAUGAUAAUUCAAAAAUUCCAAAAAAAAACCC
rnacentral:lncRNA from 1 species